UGGGGAAUCUUCCGCAAUGGGCGAAAGCCUGACGGAGCAAUGCCGCGUGAGUGAAGAAGGCCUUCGGGUUGUAAACUCUGUCCUUAUCGAAGAGAGGGUAUGGUGUGAAUAAUGCCAUAUUAGGACGGUAGAUAAGGAGGAAGCCCCGGCUAACUACGUGCCAGCAGCCGCGGUAAUACGUAGGGGCGAGCGUUGUCCGGAAUCACUGGGCGUAAAGGGCGCGUAGGCGGUCUGGUAAGUCAGUGGUGAAAACUGAGGGCUCAACCCUCAGCCUGCCACUGAUACUGUCAGACUUGAGUAUGGAAGAGGAGAAUGGAAUUCCUAGUGUAGCGGUGAAAUGCGUAGAUAUUAGGAGGAACACCAGUGGCGAAGGCGAUUCUCUGGGCCAAAACUGA
rnacentral:rRNA from 1 species